rnacentral:lncRNA from 1 species
CUGGACUGUACUGCUGCCAUGUCGGCUCACUGCAACCUCCCUGCCUGAUUCUCCUGCCUCAGCCUGCCGAGUGCCUGCGAUUGUAGGCCCGCGCCGCCACGCCUGACUGGUUUUCGUAUUUUUUGGGUGGAGACGGGGUUUCGCUGUGUUGGCCAGGCUGGUCUCCAGCUCCUAACCGCGAGUGAUCCGCCAGCCUCGGCCUCCCGAGGUGCCGGGAUUGCAGACGGAGUCUCCUUCACUCAGUGCUCAAUGGUGCCCAGGCUGGAGUGCAGUGGCGUGAUCUCGGCUCGCUACAACAUCCACCUCCCAGCAGCCUGCCUUGGCCUCCCAAAGUGGCGAGAUUGCAGCCUCUGCCCGGCCGCCACCCCGUCUGGGAAGUGAGGAGCGUCUCUGCCUGGCCGCCCAUCGUCUGGGAUGUGAGGAGCCCCUCUGCCUGGCUGCCCAGUCUGGAAAGUGAGGAGCAUCUCUGCCCGGCCGCCAUCCCAUCUAGGAAGUGAGGAGCGCCUCUUCCCGGCCGCCACCCCAUCUAGGAAGUGAGGAGCGUCUCUCCCCGGCCGCCCAUCGUCUGAGAUGUGGGGAGCGCCUCUGCCCUGUCGCCUCGUCCGGGAUGUGAGGAGCGUCUCUGCCCGGCCGCCCCGUCUGAGAAGUGAGGAGACCCUCUGCCUGGCAACCGCCCUGUCUGAGAGGUUUGACUGAUAAAAUCACUGGCUGUUGUUGAGUGAACCCAAUCUCCAGCCCCUUUCCCUUCCCAGAGAUCAGGGAUUGCAGCUAAAAGUUCUAACCCUGUAAUCACAUGGUUGGUUCCUCCGGCAACUAGUCCCCAUCCCGUAGCUACCUGGGGGCCCACCAAGAGUCCAAGGAUCACAUUAGCACAAACUCAGAAGGAGGAUGGAAAGAACUGAGGAAGCAGUAAAAGCAUUCAGGCCGUACGAGCAUAUAGAAAAAACUUGCAAAGAAAAAUGAAGAAACGCCUGCUCAUUAGCCAUCUGCCACUUCACCAAUGCCAGGAAAUUCCGGGCAGCUGUUUUUUAUAAAGUGGAUAAUUCACAUAAUUGUGUUGGGGACUUCCAGCUAUGAAGAACUGUUAGAACAUUUGAAAAUUAGUGUUCCCAAGUUGUACUGUGAUACAAAAGCCCAGUGAAUUCUUCAAACUUCCACCUCUUACAGGAAUCUGAGAAAACCAGAUAAUGUUUACAUCUACGCAUGGGGAAGGAAGGCUUGGCAGAUUAUUGGUAUCGAAAGGAAUUCUUUUUAGUUAGUUUUUAACCCUACCUGUCUUGUGAAUGUGCUAUGUACAGGCUCUUUGUAAGUCUUCAACCAUGCAGCAAAAUCCAUCUAGCCACUCAAAGAUUGGUAAUAGCAUAAUUGUCUAAUGUGUGUCUUUUCAGGAAAUUGAAAUUGAUAUGUUGUAUCUCCCUCAUGCCAAAAUUUUAUAAAAAUCAUUUCUAAGCCUAAUGACAUGUAAACUGAAUUACCCCCUCCAAAUAUUUACUCUAAAAGCAAGUGGACAAUUUCUGUAGAAUUCCUAAGAUAAUCAUCUCCUGCUAAAAACAAAAUCUACAUUCAAUUUAUAAGAUGCCUUUGUAUUCUCUUUAAGAAGAUGAACCUAUAGUGAAAAAGCUCAAAAACAAAUUAAAUAUAAAACUUUCCUUCUACUAGUGGUGCUGGGCACCGAAUACCUGCAAUUUCACAUAAUGCAAAGCACAUUUGAGAACAAUGAACACACACCUCACGUUGACUUCCCCUCCUCUGACUUGAGCAAGAAAUUCCCCUUCUCUUCAUCUUGGUUAUUCCCUGUAAGUCUCAGUUUCCACAUCUCCACAGAACAGAGAAUAACAUGCAACCUGCUCCACACAGUGGUUGCAAGAAUUAAAUUUGAUCAGGCAAUCAAAUAUUUUGUACACAUUUCAUAUGCUCAGCUGCCUCAAGAAGCUCUAGUUAGACAAAACAAACAUGGUGGAAACAAUUGCAUGUAACUGAGGGCUAAAUAACAUGGAAAAGAUGCAACAUGUAUCCAUAGACUUGUGGACAGUGUAUUCACAGGAGGCAAUAAAGGCAGUGAGAAUACCUAGGAAAUGUUUCCUGGAAAUGCUAUCCUUGAUCUCAGCUUGAAGGAUGGUCAGAGGACAGGAUACAUACAGCCCCAAGAAGAGGAGAGGGGAUUCCAUCUACUCUUAUCUCUUUCACUCCCCUGCUCACAGUUGAUACUUAGCCAGCAUCACCUGGAAACAUGAGAGUUGAAAAGCAAAUCUCCAGACCCAUCCCAGUCCUAUGGACUCAGCACUCUCAGGUGGGGCUCAGAGAUCUGUUUUAACCAGCCUUCCAGCUGGACUUCUGAACACUCAAGUUUGGGAACCACUGCUGUUGCUUUGCUUGAUCUUACCUCCUCUCUUCGGUGACCACAAGUUCUUUCCACCUGACCAACUCCUGCAGUUUUUGCAGCUGUAAAUUUCACUUUCAUUUCCUCCAGAGAGCAUGCCCAACCUGCACUGGAGUCUAGUUUGUCCAUGCAUGUCCCAACCCCAGCCCUAGGUUAGGUAUUUUGGCCCUGUGUCAUACUUUCCUUGACAAGGUACUCAGGGCAUGUCAUUUUGCUUGUUUAAUUGCCUUCCUGAUAACCUACUAGCUCCAUAAAGGCAGGUACUGAGUCUAUUUUGUUCACAUCACUUCAUUCUCAGAGCCUUGCACACUGUAAGGUACUUUGUUAAUACCUGUUGGAUAAAUAAGUAAAUCAAAGAAGCCACGAAACAAUUGGUUUUGAAUAGUAUAAAGUACUAUAAAAUCAGGAAUAUGAUACAUAUACAAUUAACAGAUGCAUUUGAAGUACCGGUUGUAGAAACACAGCUGAGUUUAGUUUGUCUUUGAGAAGAGUUUCAUGAAGAGAUUUGGGUUUCGAAAAUCUCUGCACUGAAAAUGCUACCAAUGUCACACCAUAUCACCUGAUAAGGUAGUAUUGAUUGUUUGUUAUUAUCAUUCUUGGCAGUAUUGCUUGUUUGUCAUUAUCAUUCAUUUUUCCUCCAUGACCAGAUUUUUCUGCCUUUGGAGCAAUUUGGCCCACAGAGGCUGGCAGACAAAACAGCCUCUCACCAGUGCAAGAGAAGGGCUGUGGGGAGGCUUACAUCUAAGAUUUGUGGGUGAAUAUUGGAAACAGUAACUCUUCACUUUAUUAUAAAGAAAAAGCUUUGGACCAAGAGUCCUAACACCUGAAUUCUAACUCUGGCUUCCUUCCUUCCCUCAUUUAAAUAUUUAAAUAUUUACUCUAUUCCGGGCCCUGUGCUUGGAUCUGAGCCUACAAUGGCGAACAAGACAUACACGUAGUCCCUCCCUCACCAAACCUAAAGGUCUGCUCAUCUGCUAUGGGCUACAGCCACUCCUGACUCCUACAGGACACCGAAC